rfam:Tupaia chinensis contig21485, whole genome shotgun sequence.
AACCAGUAUUAAAAAAGAAAAAUUAAAUUGUGAUGACUGGGAUUUCAUGUGGUGUGGAGAAGUGCUUCUCUUGAGCCUCAUAACAAUGUUGGCACUUUGCCCAUCUGACA